UAUGUCAAUAAAUAACAUAAGUAAUUCUUCAUUCUUACGUCAGUGGGUCAUUAAUUAUUAGCCGAGUAAUUUUGUGAUUUGAAGAUAUUAUUACGUACAGAGCAAAGAGUAGUUUAAAAUAAAAAUAAAUAUUACGGCACAGAUUAAUCGUUAUGUAAUUUUUGGAUGUGCCGCUUCUUUAUCAUUUAACAAAGUAUUAAGUAUUAAGAAAAACAGGAAUUGCUGUGAUGCAGAUACUGGAUGGAAAAUGUUGAUAUUGUUAUGUGUUCUAUAUAAUUUGUGUUGUAUGUAUAAUGAGAUAUUCAAGGAGUUGUUGUUGAGUAUGUGAAAAGAUAUUUAUGUUAUAAUUAUUCAUGUUCUAAUGAAUUCAUUUUUAUUAAAGAGAAAAAAGUAUGUUUGUGAUUUAAGUUGCAAUGAUUAUUUGAGACAAUGUAAGGCAAUUGUUCUAAAACAAUAUUACAUCAACUGUGUAUUCUA